GCCUGGCCGCUGCCAAGGGCUUCACCGUCUUCAUCGCCACGAUCGACGCGCUGAUCGCCCUGGGAGUCGCCUUCAUCAGCAUGUCCACGCGCUUCCCCAUCGGGCCGCUGCACUGGGUGGCCGAGGCGUUCGCGCGACCCCCGGACACAGAAUACGGACAGGGCUGCCUUGAGCCACCCACUGUGGUAGGUGUCAAACCGGAACCGCCGCACUUUGACCUUCCCGCGGUACUGGCACGCGACGACCCGCUGUGACGGAACAUCCGGUUCCGUUUAUUUGGUAGUGAGAAACGGAGUGGAGGUAGCUCAGCUGUGUGUCUUGGAUAAAAUAUUAGGUUUUCCAACUACCCAAUGAUGACGUCAGAAUAUUUGGAUGUCUGAUACAUGUUGGAUAUGCCAGUAAGUGUGUAAAAAGCUAGUGGUAGAGGAAAAUGAGAAACCAUAGACAGCUGUCGAGUGGUACUGAAAUUACAGACAUCGUAACAUUAGGUAACAGUAUAGAAACAACAUAACUAUUACAGCAGUAUGAAUGUUUUAGAAUUUCUGAUUUAGAUGAGCCAGUUUGUGUGAAAUAAAAAUGAAACAUAAUGCAUAUUAAUAUUAAUUCAAAGACAUAGCCUUUAUAGGCGUCGGAAGAUGCCAGCACUUGGGAAGAGGUGGUGGGGGGAGGGAUGUUAUAAUAUUAAUUUCCUUUUCAACUUGGGGAAUAUGUAAUCUUCAGCAUUGGGGGUGGUCGUGGGUGUGUGUUGGGGAGGUGGCGACAGUGCACCCUACCACCCCACCUCCUUCUUCCGAGGCCCAUGGAAGGUAACCAUUUUUAUACUUUUGUAAAUAGAAUGUGUAUGUAUAACAUAUAUAUUUAGUUAAUUUAUUUAACUUAAGUAUGCCUAUUGUGAAUAUCCUACGUUUAAAAAUACAUAUAUGUGUAAGAAGUAUAGCAAAUGUGUAGAUUAAUGUUUUGAUAUUAAAUGUCUCAGAAAAUAUGA